rnacentral:rRNA from 1 species
UGAGGAACAUGACCUUCGGCGGGGGGAUAGCCGGCCCAACGGCCGGGUAAUACCGCGUACGACCACAUGGGGACAUCCCUGAGUGGUGAAAGCAGCAAUGCGCCGAUGGAGUGCCUCGCGGCCUAUCAGCUAGUUGGUGAGGUAACGGCUCACCAAGGCGACGACGGGUANCUGGUCUGAGAGGAUGGCCAGCCACAUUGGGACUGAGACACGGCCCAGACCUUCGUAACCGGGGACGG